UGGCAUUCCUGCCCUUGGCAGUGUGAGAUGGAAGAUGAUGUCGCAAGGGUGGCCGAGAAGCAGCUGGGCUGAGCUGCUAAAAGCACAGAGACCGGGGCCAGACUCCUCAGCCUGAAAUCCUGCUUCCACUAAGUACCAGCUGGGUAACUUCAGUUUCAGGCCCUGGAGGUCCAUGCUUCUGCCCAAGCUGUGUCUCAUCUCUGCAGGUGGAGCCCAGUUGACAGGAAAUGUUUCUCCAGAAGCUGAAAAGCUGCCUGGUAAAGGCCUUUCAUAAAAUGGUCUGCGUUUGGGACCAGGAAGACAGAAGACUCCUCAAGAAGAGAACUGGAACCUUAACCCACUUCAGACUUCUUCAUGUCUGAAGCUUAUUUCCACCAUCCCAUUGAGAACCAAAGAAGCGAGCUCCUUGGAGAAUCGGCUCCCACCUGGACCUUCUGUUUAUCCUUCCAAUAGCUGCUGCAUUCAUCCUUCCCAGCUAAUGACACUUCCAGCCUUUCGUGUUUCAAAGUAUCACGGACUUUGCAAAAGAUUCCAGGUUUCUAUGGAGCAGAUAGUACUUUUAACAAUCAACAUGUGCAUUAUUAUUUCCUCCUAAGGCAUACUUAGACAUCAAUGCAUGCUACAGCAAGGCAACUUAUCUCACCCUCACCAAGGUGGCUUCUUCUUGGAUAUCUGAAUGGUGGUGAGAUCAACCUCUGGGCCAGCCAAGUAUGGAACUCAAUCCAAAACAACGGACUUCUUUUGUUUCGUGUCAGUUCAGCUUCCUACAAACAAAAUUAAAGCAGCAUUGGUUUAGUAAUUGGAAAUGCAUAUCAAAGAAAAGAAGCUUAACUCAAAACAGAUUUUCCUAACCAUCUUCAAUGUACAUGUGUAGGAGAAAUGCAUUCUUUAUUUGUAGCAGUGCAAAUGUCAGUGAUUACAAACAUGUGUGUGACUGUUUGCCAGCAAUUUGUUCUUGCCCUUGGAUGAUCAGACCCUUACGGAAUCUAGGCAGACUGUGGAACUUCCAUUGGCUUCCACUGGCUUUGGUGUGAAAUAUAGAGAUAUGAGUAGUGGUGACAAGAGGGGACACGGGAAAGGCCCGUGGGAAUAGGCCUUUGAGGGGAAGCACGCUGAUCUCUUGUUCUGCAGCGCAUGCUUGGGAUGGUAUGCGCAUGCCUUCUCUCACUAAGACUAGGACUGCUUACAGAAUGCGAAUAUAAGUAUCCUUAUUUGGGAGAAAAGUACAUUUUCAAGGGCUGGUAAAAUGACGUGGAGGAAGGGAGGAUCCAGGGAGCCUUCUGAAGAGUAUUGUCAGGAUGUCUCUUCUCUUUCAGCCACCUGGAUAUGUUUCACAUUUUGUUUCCCAAACAAGGACUAGAUUGGAUCCCAGAAGGGAAUGGUUUCCUUAGUAUACAUUCCGAAUUCCUUUGUAAGGGAAAAAUCCACUUCAUCUGGUCUAAGAAUACGUAAGAACAAAUGAAAAUGUUGUGGCUGGAGAUGUUCCUGAGUUAAUAUCAGGAUGUUUGCCUGCUGGUUUCUGUUUUACCAAACAAAACAUAGCUGCCAAUUCAUCCAUCUGUAAAAGUGCUCCUUGUGGACCCCCUCAAGAGAAGUACUGGUUAUUUUAUUUGCAGAAAACGUUUUAUUGGGAGUUGUUUACUUUCUGUGACUGAAGUGGGGAACAUGAGGGUCCCUUUACGGAGCCCUCAUAUUCCAUGUGUACUCUGUAUUUUAUUGAGGCUGUUUCCCAGUCAGAACAGCGUCUCUCUUUGUUUGUCAUUCCAAAUCUUUCAGUGUCUUUAGAGCUCUGAGGGCCCUGGAGAGCCUCACCCAACCUCUCAUCCUUCCAUGGCUGUCCCCACCUCUGUGCACUUAUGAGUCAAUGUUGCCGCACUUCAUUACAUGCUGUUCAUAUUACAGCAUUAUAAGAUUUUUUCUUUUAAAAGCCUAUCUUCUUCAAUCGGGUAGUAAGACCAUUGUGGGUUGAGGCAUGUUUCAUACUUCCCACAUAAUCACUCCAGACUUAAAACAGAACCGGAAAUACAUGAAAUAAAAAAUUAUUUUUCUGUUCUCAAAUAAAAAUUAUUGUUCUGUUCUCUACAAAUCUCCAAGUGCAUAAUGCAGCAAAUAUGCAGGUUAUUCUGAUAUUCUACACUAUUAUUUGAUGAAAAAGAAGAUUUUUAAAUAUGCAGUAAUAGGGAAAAUCCUGUGGUCAUUUAAUGAUUCUGGUAAGUCAAGGAGAAAAAGGUAUAAUUAAUGAGUAAAACCAAAGUGCACAAACUAUGUAACCAGGAAGAGAAAUUGAAAAUUGAAUAACAGAGACUUAGAUGGUGGGGGAUGCAAUUGUCUGGGAGGGGAAUUUUUAAAGCAACUUCUUUGGAUUUUAUAAAAGUUAUAAGCUUCAAGAAAGAGGAUCCAUCUCCCAUUUUUUUUAAAACAAUUCAGCACUUGAUUUAAAACAUUUGAAGGAUAACUAAAUAAAUGUAAAAAAAAAGAGACUAAAUUCUAAAUUGUAAGGGCGGGUUUAAUCAGAAAACACAGUCUUCAAGAAGAGAAUUUCUUAUGGCUGCAUAGUAUUCCAUGGUGUAUAUGUGCCACAUUUUC
rnacentral:lncRNA from 1 species